AUACACAGCCAUAGCACCCUGAGCACGCCCCAUCUCGUCUAAUCUGGGAAGCUAAGCAAGGUCAGGCCUGGUCAGUGCUUGGAUGGGAGACCAUAAAGACCAAUGGUACCUGGGGUGGAUU
rnacentral:rRNA from 1 species